rnacentral:lncRNA from 1 species
GAGUCGGGUUUUCAAAAAUCCGAAUCUAAACCCGAAAACCAAAUUGAAAUCCGAAUCCGAACCCGAAUCCGAACCUGGUGGGUUUUAAAAAUUCAUAACCAUAUUCGACCCCGACUCAAAAUCUAAAACCCGAACCCGAAAACCUGAAUCUGAAAUAAUGAUUUCUCUUUACCAUAUUUCAAAAUAUAUUAUCGUAAAAUUAAAAAUUUUCAAAACACAAUCAAAUAAUAGAACAGACCUAUUAGGGUUUGAAUUUUGGAAGAUAAAUUGACUACUGUAUAUCGUUGGAUGAAGAUCCAAUGGAUAAAAAUUAUUAGACAUUUUAUAUAUUGUAUAAAUAAAUAAAUAAAAAAAAUAUAUAUAAUUUAUUCGGGUUCGGAUUCCGGUUUGGAUUCGGAUUGAAUAAAUACAAAAUCCAUACCUGUAUCCAAAUCUGUCGGGCUUUUAUUUUUUAUACCUAAUUACCUACAACCAAAUUCAUAUUCGUUUAGCUCAGAUAAAUCUGCGCCAUUCGGAUUUGGGUUCGGAUUCGAAUUCAAAUUCGAAUAAUAUUUCUGGUAUCCAUACUCAUUAACAUCCCUAACUGCAUAGCAGGCAAUU